AAUAGGUAAAUUUAUAUACAUAACUUGUUAUAAAUUUAUACAAUUUAUUCGUAUGACAUUUAUUAUAUAAUAGUCGAAAUAUUUUCCGAUCGAUGUUAAAUGAAGAUUGUAGUAGCUGCACACAACGCGCGUGCCAACAUUUCAAGUCGACGAGACGAAUUGAAUGACACUAGGUCCGAGGAAAUUGUGAGAAACAAAAUUCCGGAAAUCGCACGAAAGUUCCGAGUGUACCGUCGAGAUUGCACUCGGUCGUCUUUUGGAUUCUUUCGACACAGGUUUCUUGUGCGCGCAGUUUUCUCCCGAAGUGUUUUCUUCACGAUGCGAAAUACGGACAGUGAGUGUGCAUCAUCCAUUCCGUUUACAAUGGACAAUUACAAAACACAUUGAAUUGCCAGUAUUUGCGCCAUUAAUUUAGCUCCAUUAUCGUGUAAUUAUAGUUCAAUUGCCGUACGAUGACUCUAUUGCAGACGCUAAUUGAUCACUGGUGUAGACAAAUUUUUGGGGAUUUUCGCAGUAUCUCUAUACUGCGCAGGAAAAUUUCGUAAUGCGUAUAGAAUCUCGACAAUUACAAUUGAUUUAGAAACAUGUAAGAAUAAAGAUUUAAAAGUUUUCAUUUUUAAUCUUGAUUUUUAAAUAAAAAAUAUGAUUGUUAUACAAUUAUAGUAAAGAUGUUGCAAAUAGGUUCAAAAAUUUCUAUUUGAGAAUAUAAAGUAUAUAUCAAAAUAAGCAUAAAAGAUUUUAAUUGAGACCAAAAGGAUAAAAAUUUCGACUCAAAAUCACACGAGAAAUAGGCAUUGAUUAAAAAGAGAAAGCGCAGCAGCACAUCUUAGUAGCUCAAUAAUAUUUUAUGUGUGAUUUUUAUAUAUUUUUAUAUACAUUUCUUUUUCACUGCGCGUCAUUAUUUUCGAUCUGUGCAAACGCAGUUCCUUAAAUUCGAUAUCUUAUAUUGUGCGACCGAUUGGCGAUUAUAGGUAUCUUAAAAAGCGGUGCGUCGAACGUGACUUCGGAGAACUCCGAUCAUAAAUCCAUCACUGUCUUCGUGCCAGGAUUGAUAAACUCACGGAAGAUUCGAAAAGAUUAGAAAGCUUGUUGUCUAUCUCGGCUACCGGAAAAAAAGGAUUAGCCGGAACGUCACCGAAAUAUUAUAUGUACGAGACUUUCGAGAUCAGAGAGCGAGACGUGCGACAUCCAAUUAGCAUUAAUAGCGCUAAUACUGAUCAGCGCUUUUGAUUGGCUAUCGAGCCCGCGUUAGCAACCUGGGAUCUGCGUAUAUAUCGAUAUAUAUCACUUUAAUUUUGAGCGUUCGUCGCUCGCGUGUAAAGUUUCUUUCGACGUCAGAAAUAUCUCGAGCCUUCCUUCUGUAUUUCGGUGGCGUCGAAUCUCUUCUCGGAAACCGCAUCGAGGCUGGCCCAUUGUUUUCAAUCUUCGAUAAGUUUUCAAUCGUGUCGAGUAAGUCAGAGACAGUGAUGGAUUUACGAUCAGGACUUGUUGGAAGUCGCCUUCGUGUUUGAUUUCGAGCGUGUCGACGUUUGUCCGAAGCUUUUCCCAUCGCUACAUAAGCAAGAGCGAGGCUCGUGCCGGCGCGGCGACGCGAUUAAACUUUUUUACUUUCCCGCGAAAUGCCUAUUCCCAAAGUGACCAAUCAGCUACUCGCUGCUCCCAUAACGUUUGCCCCUCCCCCCACGCUCCGGCUCAUUUCCGUCGCGAGGACACGGGUGUGAGGACGUGUGUCUUUUCGUCCGUCGGUAGGGAACUACAGCGAUGACCUUGGUGUGUACGUUAGUCCGUCGAAGGUACGAGAAACAACCGCGAGCUACGUGACGCGUCGUCGUGUAAAAUACGCGGGAUUCAAUACCACCAAGUGCGUCGUGUUCAGUUCGCUCGUCGCGUCCAGUUCGCUCGUCGCGUCCGUCGCCGUGUACGACGGUGAUUCCGCGUUCCUCGUUUCGCCGACGCAUUAACCGAGAUCUCGAAAGCGACGCCCGCGAGCCUCGCCUGCAUUUUUUCGCCGCCAGUUUCUCUUUUCCCGAAAAGUAGACUCGUAUCGUGGUGACCGGCGAGCUGCUUCCCCUCCCCCCCCCCUCCUACAUUCUCGAGAAGUAACCUCAGUCCCGUCGGGGAGACGCGUCGUGCGCGUCGUAAUUUAUUUAUCGCGUCGUCUUUUCAUCCGUCGCGAAUAUCGCGAAGAACGACAAUGACCGUGGUGUGUCCGUCGGUCCGCCUAAACCCCAUGGAAAAUAACUACGGGAACAACGACGUGUGUGAGAUACGCGGGAUUUCAGUGUCGUGAAGUGCGUCGUGUUUGACACAACGUCGCGUUUCGGUUCGCAGUUAUUCGUUGCUCAUGUCCAACGGUUUCACGGUCCCUCGUUUCGCCCGACAUAAAUGUUAGUCGAGCUUUCAAAAGCGGUGCACUCAAACGUACGUCGCGGUCAGUCUGUUUUCCCCGAAAAGUGUACCGUGCGAGGUCGCGAUUCGUUUCCCCAUUCCGUUAUUUUCGCAUUCUCGGAAGGUUAAGUUUCUCUCGUCGGGACACGCGAUGUCGGGACGAAAUUUAUAUCAUUCAUCUCGUGCAUCUCUUUAUCCGUAUUAUCGCGAGAAACGAAGAACAUUGACCUUGGUGUGUUCGUCAGUCCGCUAGGUAUGAAAAAUAGAGCAACGUCGUGCGUGUGCGAAAUGCACGGAGAAUAUUCAGUAUCGUGAAGUACGUCGCGCUUGAUACAUACAUCGCGUCUCACUUCGCAGCGUCCGUCCGUCGCUUGUCCGUUGACUCCGCGUUCUUCGUUUCGCCGGUACGUUAAUUGAGAUUUUAAAAGUGACGUCCAAGUCCCGCUUGUAUUUUAUCGCACGAAAUUGCAAAAGCCAUUUUCCCCCUUUCUAUUACUCCGUAGUAAAUCUCGCGAGUUCUGUCGCGGAGCAUCCGUCGGAGUUCCGCGAUCUCUUUAUCCUUUAUUUUACGUUGCCAAGUGAAUAACAAACGCGAACGAGUACCGAGAGUGAAUCAAAUCAAAUCGAAAUCAAUGGAAUAAACAAACGAUCGCCCCGCGUGCAUUUCGUUCCGUGCGAUUGUCUUAUAAAAUACGUAAGUGUCGUCGCAAUCUAACCUAACCUAACCUGAUCGUUCGGUCGUUUGCAUACGUGACGAUAUAUACGCGAGUGUCGGUAUAGUGAUGGCACAGGUGCAACCAAGGAUACAUUCUACAACAAAAGGAAGGAAAGGGACACCCGGAAACGGAGAGGAGCAAGGUGAUCACGACGCAUCGGCCGCGUACACUGACAAAAAGACUUGGUUAUAAUAAUCCAGCCUUGGUCAAAACUACCCAAAACCUUAAUGAAAUAGUUUCAAGUGUAAGGUAAUUAUAACAAAAUAAUGUACUUAUAAUGAAAUGUUUAUAAUUAUUACCAAACGUUUUGUCAUUAUUACUGCAUUUGUUUAUAACAACCAAAUAUUUCAACAAAAUCAUUACUAAAUGCAUUUCAACAAAAUCAUUACUAAAUGCAGGUUUACUAAGAAUUUUUUUUUUUCAGUGUAUAUGACGAUAUAUAUGCGAGUGUCAGUGAUAGUGAUGCACGGGUGCAACCAAGGACACAUUCUGCAACUAAAAGAAGGAAAGGGACACCCGGAAACGGAGAGGAGCAAGGUGAUCACGACGCAUCGGCCGGUGAGUGAAUUACAGCUGUUCUGUAGAUACAAUUGUUUUUUUGAAACUCAAUUUUUUCCUCUUUUUUACUAAGAUUACGAGAUAUUCUUUUCUAAUUAGCAUUCCAGUGUUAAUUAUUGCACUAUGAACAAAUUUUUAUGAGCAAAUGACUCACAUUUGUUCAAAAUUUAUUUUCAUACAAUGUAAAUUGUUUUUUUAUUAACUAUCUUAUAAAAUUCCAUAAAAUUGGAAUUAUUUAAAUUUGUUUUCAUAUAUUAUUUCAAAUCUAUAUAUCAGGUUUAAACCAAGGGUCUCUUUUCUCAACAUAAUCGCGGUUUCAAACUUGCGCAAGAUUUCGUAAUGCACUGAUAGUCACAAACUAACUUUGGGGAACAUACAUACAGAUAAAUACUUACUCUAUUGUUAAGAAAAGCGAUUACUCAGUUUACUUUUUUUCUUAUAAUAAGUAACGGUUAUCUUCAAUAAAGAAUAUUUUCUUGAUAAUAGUUUUAAAAUAUAUAUCUUAUAAUUAUCA